UUAAAAUCCCCAAUUUCAAUUUCAUUUGACUCCUCUCAAUUUUAAUCAUAGCCAUUGAUCUCAUCUGAUCAAUGACUGAGAUUAAAUCCACCAUUUAUCACACUUUUAAACAAAAUAAUUCAAACCCUUAUUCUUUUCAGAAAAAUAGCCGCACCUCCCUCUCUUCUCCCUCUUCCUCUCUCUCUAUCAACACGACGGAACCCCAGCGCCGCCAGCCGUCGAUGGAAUCCCAACGUCGCCAGCAGCCAUCUCCACUAACGCCGGCAGCAUCAGCAGCCAGUGAGACAGCCGUCCACCAGCCAUCUGGCAUCCUCCGUUUAGAGUUUCCCGUGAAAGAAUCUAUAAGCAGAUUGAAGCUGCCAUUUUGAAAUAUCAAGAAACUAAGAAAAAUAUCAAAG